AUACUUACCUGGCAGGGGAGAUACCAUGAUCACGAAGGUGGCUUUCCCAGGGCAAGGCUUAUCCAUUGCACUCCGGAUGUGCUGACCCCUGCGAUUUCCCCAAAUGUGGGAAACUCGACUGCAUAAUUUGUGGUAGUGGGGGAAAAAAAAGAAAAAAAAAAAUAAUAGUCUCCCUA
rnacentral:snRNA from 1 species